rnacentral:rRNA from 1 species
AGCUCAAAUUUAAAAUCUGACAGUGUUUUGCUGUCCGAGUUGUAACCUAGAGAAGUGUAACCUGUGCUGGACCAUGUACAAGUCUCCUGGAAUGGGGCAUCGCAGAGGGUGAGAAUCCCGUGUUUGACAUGGACUACCAGUGCAUUGUGGUUGUGCUCUCAACGAGUCGAGUUGUUUGGGAAUGCAGCUCUAAAUGGGUGGUAAAUUCCAUCUAAAGCUAAAUAUUGGCGAGAGACCGAUAGCGAACAAGUACCGUGAGGGAAAGAUGAAAAGAACUUUGGAAAGAGAGUUAAACAGUAUGUGAAAUUGUUGAAAGGGAAACGUUUGAAGUCAGUCAUGUUGGGUGGGGAUCAGCCUGGCAGAUUGUUGGGUGUACUUCCUGGUUGACGGGCCAACAUCAGUUUUGACUGCCAGAGAAAGGUGAAGGGAAUGUGGCACCUUUGGGUGUGUUAUAGCUCUUUGUCGUAUGUGGUGGUUGGGACUGAGGAAAGCAGUGCGCCGAAAGGCGGGGUUUCGACCACAUUCGCACUGA